rnacentral:rRNA from 1 species
GUGUCAGCAGCCGCGGUAAUACGGAGGGUGCAAGCAUUAAUCGGAUUUAUUGGGCGUAAAGGGCGCGUAGGCGGAAUGAAAAGUCAGAUGUGAAAUCCCGGGGCUCAACCUCGGAACAGCAUUUGAAACUCUCAUUCUAGAGGAUAGAUGGAGAAAACGGAAUUCCACAAGUAGCGGUGAAAUGCGUAGAUAUGUGGAAGAACACCGGUGGCGAAGGCGGUUUUCUAAUUUAGACCUGACGCUGAGGCGCGAAAGCAAGGGGAUCAAACAGGAUUAGAUACCCUGGUAGUCCUUGCCGUAAACUAUGUAUACUUGGUGUAGCUGGAAUCAACCCUGGCUGUGCCGUAGCUAACGCGAUAAGUAUACCGCCUGGGGAGUACGCUCGCAAGGGUGAAACUCAAAUGAAUUGACGG